UCUGUCGUGUUUCUCUUCAGACCGAAUGAAUCUUUCCCCUUUUAUUAAAGAUUUCCGCGGAGAGGAGCGACAUGAGGCCGAAUCAACUUUUAAUUCUUUCAAUUAAACAAACUUUUUUUUUUUU
rnacentral:snRNA from 1 species